UACGGAGGGUGCAAGCGUUUGUCCGGAUUUAUUGGGUUUAAAGGGUGCGUAGGCGGCCCUGUAAGUCAGUGGUGAAAUACUGCAGCUUAACUGUAGCAUUGCCAUUGAUACUGUAGGGCUUGAGUACAGAUGAGGUAGGCGGAAUUGAUGGUGUAGCGGUGAAAUGCAUAGAUACCAUCAAGAACACCGAUUGCGAAGGCAGCUUACUAAGCUGUAACUGACGCUGAGGCACGAAAAGCGUGGGGAUCGAACAGG
rnacentral:rRNA from 1 species